GGACUGAAAAAGGGAACAGAGAAAAAAGGAAAUAAAAACAAACUCUCCCAUGAGGUAGAAGCUGCAGAUUGUCUCCUUCCUGACCCUGGACCUGCACUGAUCUUGAGAUGAGCCCAAAGAGGUUUGCCAGACAUUUUUCUAUUGCGUGUCUGGAUCCCAUCUUUCUUCAUAAAUGCCUUGCAGGCCUGGUUUUCACCACAUCAGGAUACAGGGCUGCUGGCUGAAUUCCGGUAUGAAACGGAGCGCUGGUGCACCGCAAUCUGUCAUACACAUGCACAUCCCUCUUCAGACAGAUGGACAGGGAGCCGAAUCCAUCACAGUACUCCUGCCAGGUUCGGUUAAAGUCAGUUUGUCCAUCAAACCGGCGCUGGAACACUGUCCAUUCCCCACCAGCUGAAACCAUGUCACACACGGCCUGGAAUGGACAAGUCAUAAAGAAAACACACAUAUAGGCCCAGAGUUGCCUCCAAAACUAUCUGAACUUUAAAAAAAUUCUGUCAUCAUUUACUUAU